AACGCACAUUGCGCCCGCCAGUAUUCUGGCGGGCAUGCCUGUUCGAGCGUCAUUUCAACCCUCAAGCCCCCGGGCUUGGUGUUGGAGAUCGGCGUGCCCUCCGGGGCGCGCCGGCUCCCAAAUAUAGUGGCGGUCUCGCUGUAGCUUCCUCUGCGUAGUAGCACACCUCGCACUGGGAAACAGCGUGGCCACGCCGUUAAACCCCCCACUUCUGAAAGGUUGACCUCGGAUCAGGUAGGAAUACCCGCUGAACUUAA
rnacentral:misc_RNA from 1 species